UCCAGACUCCUACGGGAGGCAGCAGUGGGGAAUAUUGCACAAUGGGGGAAACCCUGAUGCAGCAACGCCGCGUGGGUGAAGGAGCGUUUCGGCGCGUAAAGCCCUGUCAGCGGGGAAGAAGAAAGACGGUACCCGACCAAGAAGCCCCGGCUAACUACGUGCCAGCAGCCGCGGUAAUACGUAGGUGGCAAGCGUUAUCCGGAUUUAUUGGGUGUAAAGGGCGUGUAGGCGGGAAUGUAAGUCAGAUGUGAAAACUAUGGGCUCAACCCAUAGCCUGCAUUUGAAACUGUAUUUCUUGAGUGCUGGAGAGGCAAUCGGAAUUCCGUGUGUAGCGGUGAAAUGCGUAGAUAUACGGAGGAACACCAGUGGCGAAGGCGGAUUGCUGGACAGUAACUGACGCUGAGGCGCGAAAGCGUGGGGAGCAAACAGGAUUAGAUACCCCGGUAUA
rnacentral:rRNA from 1 species